CUAUUCACAAGAGGCUACUUUUCCAACCUUCCUGCAAGAACUGCACUGUGAAUGAAGACAGGGACCAUUAAAAGAGAAGGAGAAAGGAGGAGGAAUCAAUUGCUAUUUUUUCACAAUUAAUCUACCUCUAACUAUUAGAAAAGAAGAUAUUCAUUAGCUACUUGACUCCAAAAAUCAUUCAACUUGGAAUUCCCCAACCUCAAACGAGGAAUGGACUAGCUUCCUUGGCUCUGACCUCCAGAUUUCUGAGGAUGUGUGUACAAAGUUAACCCCUAAUGCUCCACAUGAACUCAUCUCAUCUAAAUCAGGCCAAAAGCAGAACUAAUCAGUUUCAUUGGAAAUUUGACUCCAAACGCCAGUAUUUGAUACCUGCAGUUGGGCUAACCAGUAGGAACUUACUGAUAGUGUCAGAAGCCUGGAACUUACUGGAUCAAUGAGAAGGGACUUCUGGCUUCUCAGUCAGACGAGGAUCAGUCGAAGUUGAGACAAGGAAGCCCA